UGAGCCUUGGGUUUCAGAAGCCUGUCCCACCCACUACUGGUGUCACUGGAUGAUCAGGAUGGCGUUGGGACCAGUUCCUAAUGUAAUACAACAGGACAUGACAUGGGUUCAGAAAUGAAUUGCUCUCUUCUGGGCACUGGCUGUUGGAUGUGGAACAGUGCUGCAGGGAUGCCCAACUUCUGGGAAGUUGAUGACCACAUGCAACAUGGAAUGCAAACUGGGGGAGCCAGAUGCUACUUGC